GUAUUCACUUCCACAGCACAUAUACUAAAAUUGGAACGAUACAGAGAAGAUUAGCAUGGCACUAGUGCAAGCAUGAUAUGCAAAUCUGUGAAGCAUUCCAUAUUUUG